CGCCAUAGCAACCGCCCGUCGCCGCCACGCGCGUGCCCCUCUCUCCUUCCCCUCGUCCCCCUUUACCUAUUGCUCGACCCUUUCCCCGACCCCCACACCACUCUUCCUCGCUCUGCUCGAGCGCAGAAAAGACCGCGUCCCCCUCCCCGCUCCGCCGGCGCCAGAACACGCACCCCGCUCCUCCCAGGUUUCUGAGUGAAGAUGAAUUUGGCAGAGAUCUGUGACAAUGCCAAAAAGGGAAGAGACUAUGCACUCAUUGGGAAUUAUGACUCUUCUAUGGUGUAUUACCAGGGUGUCAUCCAGCAAAUCCAGAGACAUUGCCAGUCCAUCAGAGAUCCAGCAAUUAAGGGCAAAUGGCAACAGGUUCAGCAAGAAUUAGUCGAAGAAUAUGAACAAGUUAAGAGCAUUGUUGACACUUUAGAGAGUUUUAAAAUGGACAGACCUGCAGAUAUCCCUGUGUCCAAUCAAGAUGAGCCUUUUAGAGACCCUGCUGUUUGGCCCCCUCCAGUUCCAGCUGAACACAGAGCCCCACAUCAGAUCAGGCGUCCCAACCGAGGAGCAAAGCCCUCGAGGAAGGAAUCCCCAGGCCUGCAGCCCCGUGGGCCCGUGGGCAGAGCGCAGCCAGCAGCGAGGAGCGACAAAUCUGCAGGCAGCCGUGACAGGGAGCCGAGGGCCAGAGGGAGGGAUGACAAGGGAAAGAAAACACCCCAGGAAGGUGUUGCUGAUGAUGUUCCAAGAUUUGAUGGAGGAGUGGGUUAUGACAAAGACUUGGUCGAAGCUCUUGAAAGGGACAUUGUGUCGAGGAAUCCAAGCAUUCAUUGGGAUGACAUAGCAGAUUUGGAAGAAGCCAAAAAAUUAUUAAGAGAAGCUGUUGUUCUUCCAAUGUGGAUGCCUGAUUUUUUCAAAGGGAUCAGAAGACCUUGGAAGGGCGUGCUGAUGGUUGGUCCUCCUGGUACUGGCAAAACAAUGCUAGCAAAAGCUGUUGCUACAGAAUGUGGAACAACAUUCUUCAAUGUGUCUUCCUCUACACUGACAUCUAAAUACAGAGGCGAAUCUGAAAAGCUUGUCCGCCUCUUGUUUGAAAUGGCAAGGUUUUACGCUCCAACAACAAUCUUCAUUGAUGAAAUUGAUUCAAUCUGCAGCCGCAGAGGCACAUCUGAUGAGCAUGAGGCGAGUCGCAGAGUCAAGUCAGAGCUGCUUGUGCAAAUGGACGGGGUAGGUGGUGCUUUGGAGAAUGAUGACCCUUCCAAGAUGGUUAUGGUAUUAGCUGCUACAAACUUUCCUUGGGAUAUUGAUGAAGCUCUCCGACGGAGACUGGAAAAAAGGAUUUAUAUACCUUUGCCCACAGCAAAAGGCAGAGCAGAACUACUUAAGAUUAAUCUUCGGGAAGUAGAGCUGGAUCCUGACAUCAGCCUUGAAGAAAUUGCUGAGAAAAUUGAAGGCUAUUCUGGUGCUGACAUCACUAAUGUCUGCAGGGAUGCCUCUUUAAUGGCAAUGAGACGGCGUAUUAACGGCUUAACUCCAGAAGAGAUUCGGGCACUUUCUAAAGAGGAACUUCAGAUGCCAGUUACCAAGGGGGACUUUGAGUUGGCUCUGAAGAAAAUCUCCAAAUCUGUUUCUGCUGCAGACCUGGAGAAGUACGAGAAAUGGAUGGCGGAGUUUGGAUCUGCUUAAUCUCACCGACAGCUUUCCAUUGAGAGUUUAUGGCUUUUGUUGUUUUCACUUGCAAUAGCAAAGCCUGAGGAUUAACUGGCAUUUACACAGAAGAAGUGAGGAUCAGUUUUCCAUCAAGAUGCAGGCUCAGCUCUCCUCUCUUGUACACGCAUUUGGCUUUGAUGUCACUUCAGAUUGGAAUGAUGUUACCUGUGACUUCUCCUAAUGGAAAUGAGAAGGAAAGGAAAGGACCUUGAUUGCUUUCAUUCCAUGUUGAAUAUGGUUUGUACCACUUUGACCAUCAGGCACUUUGAAGUUUGACCAGUAGGCACUUUGACUUUAUAUUGUGCAUUUAUGUAGAAUCUUGAACUUUGCUUUCUAAAUAUUAUUUAAAUAACAGUAGUGAAGACACUAAUAUGUCCUUAAAAUGCAUGGCUGUGGACUUCAGGUCUUCUAGUUAGGCCUGAGCCCUUUCCAAGCUUUACUAAGCAAUGGUAUUUGCACUUGUUUAUGUUGUAGAACUAUUUUUGUUAUACCUCUUAAAUGAAGGUUUCUUAAAAUGUAUAAAUGCAAUUAAUUUAGGGGAAAGUAGUCUGUACAAUCUCAUUUAUAUUCUUAUGUGUUUCUUCCUGUCCCAAGCACAAGUGCAGGGAUGAGAAGGGUUAGAUUAUAAACUCUAGCAUGAUAAAUCCCCUCUCUGGAAUGUAACUGUCAUGCUGACAGUAUGGGAUUUUCACAGCGCAUCUGACUCGUGUGGGUUUCCUAAUGUAGGAAUGGGAAGGAUAGGUAAAAUUUACAGAGGAAUAUUCAAGCUCUGAAAUUAUUGGUGAUGUUGUAAACCUGACUCCAAGUGUCUUGGUUGAUCUGAGCUGUCCUGCAGUUGGGUGAGUUCUGCACCCUCUGUCUCUCUGCUGAGACUCAUGAUGACAUAGCCAGGUGUCGUAGGUUGGACUAAGAAAUUGAUCUUGCUCAGAAAUGAAGCCAGGUAUUCAGAAUCACCCACCACAUCUUGGAUGGGAGUAUAUUUUUUUGCUGGUGCUUGCCAAAUAACGUUUGUAAUCCAGCACGUUGGUCUUUUGAGCCAUGACCUGUGAACCACUAACAUAAAUGCUUCUUGAGCAUGUCUACUGUUCAGGAGCAAGGACAGUCAGGAUAUGUGCUUGACAACUCUGCUGCAUCCUUCUGAUUAUGUGAGCAACUUGUGUGGUUGUGGUGUCCUCUCUGCUUUGUCUGUCAGCAGUCCUUUUUCUUUCUCUCUCUGUAAAGACCACAGCUUGGAUAGAUCAUGCCAUUUUAAAGGGCUCUGCUAAUUGGCAUGGAGAAACACCACAGAGAUUCUGUAAAUCCUGCAUUUGACACAAGACAGCUGGGGCUGUAGAGGCCUGUUUUGUGUGGCCUUUCAGAAAUAUACUUUCUGGUGCCCCCAGACUGGUUGAAAAACAACUGCUGUCCCAAUCUUUCCAGGGACAGAGCAUCUCCACUGGCUUUGUUACGAUCUUGACCAGGGAGAUUAGAGCAGGAAGAACAUCAACUUUUCCCUUUUCACCUACAGAGAGAAUAAAAGCUCCAGUUACUUUUUGCCUGCCCAGUUUGCACCAACUGCACAGUAUAGCCUUUGCUCUUCACAAUACCUGCAACUGUUAGAGAGAAGCAGUUCUGUCUGCCCUGGAAGAUGAGCAAGUGCAAAGCUGUAUUUGACUAUCAUUUUUGGCUAAAUUACUACCAGGGCCAGUCUGUUCCUCCCAGGGAAUAGCUGGACCCUUAUAGAAAGAAAGCUUUGAAAGCGUUGCCACGGAGUGUCAUUUCUUCCUUAUGAAAGCUGUAGGCUGAAGCUAUUAUUCUUUUUUCCUUCUUUUUUUUCUUUUUUCUUUUUGUUUUACUGCAGUAGAAAUGAGGAAAGCUGUAAAAGUCUUCUGUGGCCAGUGCCAGAUUAGCACUUCAGGGUUGCUCCCUAGUGAGACAAGUACUGCCCAAGGAGCUUACUCUACACAGGCAAGAUCUAGAAGGAAAUAGACACGAAUGCCAGUAACUCACACCAUUCAUCUGCCUGAGAGCAGCGCUGGAUUCAGCAGUUGCUACUUAGGAAGAUGUAAGUACCAGUUUUCUCAGUUUCACGUUGCAAGCAGCAGGGCCCUUGCUGCUGUUGAAAGCACAAUGUUUAGCAGAAAUGUCAUUCCUUCCCUCCAGGUGUUGAACUAACCUCUUACACGGUAAGCAGAAUUCACAACACUGGACAUUCCUUCCAGUGGGAAUUAUUUGGGUGCUGCAGUUUUUCUCUAAAGAUCAUGAUUUUGUACCUUAAAAGUGUUCUUUCUGUACAGGUCCAUUCAUUCUUUUCUACUGCAGAAUAACAAAGUGAAAAGUUUCCAGGCCAUAGAUAUUUGUCUAUGCAAUGCCUGAGUGUUACAGCAGGCUCCUGUGGAUCAGGCAGCCCACGAGGCAGAGACCAUCCCUUUCAUGCUGAGGCUCUUCAGUGUAGGUGACUAGCUCUAACGCCAACCCUUUCAUCUCCACCCAGUCUCACUGUUGCACUCAACUAAGUGGGCUUGAAGGUUGAAUCGUUGCCUCUAGAAGAGAGCCAACAGUGAGAAGUAGCAAGGAGCAAUUAGGGGAGGAAGGCCAGGCUAACAAUGGGAGGAAUGCAAGUCCAACUUGUGUCCCUUUGGGGGAAAGCCUUCUUUAAGGGUGCUUAAUUCAUUAGAGAACAAUGUACUAGCAUCUCACAGCCUGCUGCAACAAUUUGGUCUGUGUAUAGAGCUGCAUACACGCCCGUGUGUAUGUGUAUACGCACACAAGUUUGUACCUAUGUGACAUAAAAUCGAGUUCUAAAGCUGUGUUUACAUGUCUCUUUCUAAACGUCUGUGAAAGUCCUAUUGGGUAGCACUGCUAAUUUUUGUACAAUAAGCAAUUUGAUUGUAUGAAGUAAUAAAUAUA